CGUCUUGAAACACGGACCAAGGAGUCUAGCAUGUGCGCGAGUCACUGGGACAUUUUCGAACUAGACCCACGGGCGCAAUGAAAGUGAACUGUCGGCGGGGAUCCGUCCCCGCCGUCGGAGGGAGGAUGCGCUGGCGGCAGCGAAAACGCGGCCGCCGCGCCGCAUUCCCGAGGCGUUUCGAGAAAGCGCACCGCGAGGCGCGCGACUAUCGGGACGCACUGCGAGCGUACACGCUGGGACCCGAAAGAUGGUGAACUAUGCCUGGUCAGGUCGAAGUCAGGGGAA
rnacentral:rRNA from 1 species